GGAUGUGAGGGCGAUCUGGCUGCGACAUCUGUCACCCCAUUGAUCGCCAGAGUUGAUUCGGCUUAUCUGGCUGGCUAGGCGGGUGUCCCCUUCCUCCCUCACUGCUCCAUGUGCGUCCCUCCCAAAGCUGCGCGCUCGGUCGAAGAGGACGACCUUCCCGGAUAGAGGAGAGGACCAUUCUUCCGUCAAGGGUAUACGAGUAGCUGCGCUCCCCUGCUAGAACCUCCAAACAAGCUCUCAAGAAGGGCAUUGAUGGCAGGGCGCCUGGGUGGCUCAGUGGGUUAAGGCCUCUGCCUUUGGCU
rnacentral:snRNA from 1 species